GCACUUCUGAGGAGUCCCACAACAGGACGAAAGGACAGUCCAGUGC
rnacentral:hammerhead_ribozyme from 1 species